UACGUAGGGCGCAAGCGUUAUCCGGAAUUAUUGGGCGUAAAGAGCUCGUAGGCGGUUUGUCGCGUCUGCCGUGAAAGUCCGGGGCUCAACUCCGGAUCUGCGGUGGGUACGGGCAGACUAGAGGUAGGUAGGGGAGAAUGGAAUUCCCGGUGUAGCGGUGAAAUGCGCAGAUAUCGGGAGGAACACCGGUGGCGAAGGCGGUUCUCUGGGCAUGUCCUGACGCUGAGGCACGAAGGUCAGGGGAGCAAACGGG
rnacentral:rRNA from 1 species